CCUUCAGAGUCAUUAACUGUAAGCAAGUGGUGGCGAGGAAAGGGAAAACAUAAGUUCGGAGAGAAAGAGGAGGCUCUGGUGACCUUGCGUCUCAAACAACUGGAAGUUAUGGACGACUCACUGGCAAAUGCUCUCUAAGCUCUGUUACCUGUUCUGAUGUUUUCAGGUCAAGGCACUAGAACUACCAUAACGCAGUCUGGUAUUCUUGGUGUGGAAUGCAGGGGCACAGCCUACUGGUUGACGGUGACGCUGACCAGUCCCGAAGUUGCGAACAACCGUCAGAGGCUGCCACAAAAAUCAUGUCACAGUUUGUCAUGAGCAGAACAGAAACCAGCAAGGCACACGACGGUUUGCAAGCGGA
rnacentral:lncRNA from 1 species